AUUGAACGCUGGCGGCAUGCCUUACACAUGCAAGUCGAACGGCAGCACGGGUGCUUGCAUCUGGUGGCGAGUGGCGAACGGGUGAGUAAUAUAUCGGAACGUACCUUAUUGUGGGGGAUAACGCAGCGAAAGUUGCGCUAAUACCGCAUACGCCCUGAGGGGGAAAGCGGGGGACCGUAAGGCCUCGCGCGAUUAGAGCGGCCGAUGUCUGAUUAGCUUGUUGGUGAGGUAAAAGCUCACCAAGGCGAUGAUCAGUAGCUGGUCUGAGAGGACGAUCAGCCACACUGGGACUGAGACACGGCCCAGACUCCUACGGGAGGCAGCAGUGGGGAAUUUUGGACAAUGGGGGCAACCCUGAUCCAGCAAUGCCGCGUGAGUGAAGAAGGCCUUCGGGUUGUAAAGCUCUUUUGUCAGGGAAGAAACAGCAGCUCUAACACAGUCUGCGAAUGACGGUACCUGAAGAAUAAGCACCGGCUAACUACGUGCCAGCCGCCGCAGUAA
rnacentral:rRNA from 1 species